AUGGAUCACCUCGAGAUUCCCACUACAGAUUACGUCUAUGCUCCUUCAAAAGAAAAAAUCGACAAAGCAUUGGAUUUCAUCCACAAAAAUGCAACAGAAGGUGGUAGUACUUUGGUCCACUGCAAGGCAGGAAGGGCACGAAGCGCUACCAUAGUUCUAUGCUAUUUGAUUAAGUACAAGAAGAUGACUCCCGAAGCAGCUUUGGCUCGUGCGAAGUCCGUAAGAACUCGAGUGAAAUUGGCAACAGCUCAAUGGCAGGCUGUCAAGGAGUUUAACUCAAGUCUGGUGGAUGUUGGUGAGGAUGUUAGUCAGGAUGUUGAUGACGAUGGCAUCGACACGCUCCAGGUCCGUUUCUUCAAAUAUUAG
rnacentral:rRNA from 1 species